UGUGUGUGUGUGUGUGUGUUGGUUUUUGUGGUUUACAAGGACUUUUGACCUGAAUACGCACCAGCAUUACAGGGACAUUUGGGUUUAUGAGGACAGGGCCCAUGUCCUUAUAAUUCCGACAGUGUAUAUGCCUUUCUCUAUGUCCCAGAAGCUCCCUCUCAAAUUUUCGCGCCAUGUCCUAAUAUACCACAAAACCCUGAAAUUUUACUAUACACUGUGUAUCCUCCGAACUCGGGAGUGCGCCCCUGCAGCCCGGACCCGGUACUGCAUCCGCGUCAUCGAAAAUUUGCAUAUUUUACACUUGUGUAAGUUUGGAGGCCGCUGAUUGGCUAGAUCGGCACCGGAGGGCGGGAAAUCGCGAAAACAAAAUGGCGGCGGUGGGCGGGGCUACAUUCUGCCGCUAAUAGUUCCGUACAACGAGGCAAGGGUGUCGGUUUGUAACUUCCUGUUUGGACCGGACGCAAUCUGUGCACCUGAAGUGAAGACAUCUGCGGUGUGAAGCUGUUGGAGACAACUAUUAUAUGAAAGCAGACACAGAGGAUGGCUGAAGGUGCGAGGCGAAGGAGAAAGCUGAGGCCAUACAGUGUUCACUUCAACAGAAAGACCAUAAUGGGCUCAAGGGCAGGUUCAUCACUGAUCUUAAAGGUGACUCUGAAGAAGGACCGGUUACUAUUGGAUGAUCAGGACUGUGUUGAGUAGAUGUCACCUGUCAAAGAGCAUGUGUUGAAUGAGGAGCAGAGCUUUUUUGUCCCCGCUGAAGGAGUUAAGGAGAUGAGAUCAACAUGACAGAUUCUGAUGACGCUGAUCCUGAAGAAAGUGAUUCUGAUGAUGAGGCUCUUGCUGGAGCUGCGGGAGACUCCAGUAAUGCUGGUGUUCAGAAGAUGCCCAUUGAGAGCACCACUGAAGUUCCUGAAGAGUGUGAGAGUGAGGCAGAAACUGAAAACACACGGAGAGGGCAGAAAGUGUCCUGGUCAAACACUGAAGUUACAGCUGUAAUCAAACAUUUUAAGGACCACAGAGCUAAAGGAAAACUGGCCACACUGACUGAAUGCCAGCAGUGUAAAACUGCUGAGGAUCCUGUUUUGGUGAGAUGCAGUGCACAGAACAUACAGGAUUUUGUAAGAAAUCGAGGAAUUAUCUUAAAAAGGAAAACCCAAAGCAAGUGAUGUUACAGUACAUCCUGUGUCUUGAUGCCAUUCUAUUAUCAUGAGCACUUUGGUUGUUGUUUUUAUUUCCAAUAGUGCAAAACUGUUAUAGCAGCAGUUCAUACAAAUAUCUCCAUGUAGAAAACAAGUUCAAUUGUUAGUUUGUCAAAAACUUUUCAUUCUGGAAGUGAACGAUUCCUUUACAGAUAAAUCAGUUUCUCUACACAUCUGCAGCAUGUAUUGUGUGCUCAGAGUUAAUCGCAUGUUUACUUUUUCAUUCUGGAAGUGAACCAUUCCUUUAAGGAUAAAUCAGUUUCUCUACACAUCUGCAGCAUCUAUUGUGUGCUCCGAGUUAAUCUCAUGUUUACUGUGUGUUUAGUAGGGAUGCACUGAUCAUGAUUUUUCAUAGACGAUACCGAUAUUUAUUUAUUUUUACAAGCAAACUGGCCGAUUCCGAUACAGAUUUCCGAUUAUUAUUAUUAUUAUUAUAUUAUUUUUUUA